CCCCCCGUCGACAACAUUUCCGGGAAAAUUUUUUUAGGUGCCCUUUCCGAUAGUAAUGUGCCCCUACAAGCCGGUGCCCCCCCAAACUCCAGGUGCUUCCUACGCCCCUGUUCCAAACUACCAUAUGGAUGUCAGGAACAUUGUAUGCCUACUGUGUGAAGAUGUUACAUACCUUUAUAUGUACAGUAACCUGACAAGUUAUUGGACAAUAUGAUCGCCAACAAUGGACACUACCUGUACAUGCUAAAUAAAUACGAAAGAUCUGCAUAUUGGACAAAAAAACAAUUAAUGGCACUGUCUUGUUUUCCAAUUGGAAAAUACAGUACACUAUUAUUACUUGGAAAGAAUAUGAAAACUUGCAACAAACUAAUCAUAUCAUGUUAAAAAGACAUUAUGUUUGUUCUUCCUAAUUGUGUUCUUCUGGACGUUUUGACAAGUGAAGACGGUUUAAAACAUUGGUACCAACAAUCACAUGUGUAAAUAUGAAAAUCCGAAGUACAGUUUACA